CAGAGCAGUGAUGGAAGACAGUGCUGGUGUACAGUCAGAAAACAGCCUUAUGCAGGAAACAGCCAGCACCACAAUGAAGAACUGCCAAGGAACAAAUUGCUGUCACAGAAUACCCCUACCAUGUCCCACAGGCCAAACAGGAAGCAACAAUUUAUCAAAAGCUGAAGUUCUAUGUAACUACAUUCCUGAAGACUUUCCAGAUUGUAUCAAUACGUAGCCAGUGGUCCAGAAAGGAAAUGACUAAGAGGAAUUUAUGAAACAUGUGCAAAAAGAGAGGUAAAUGAAUUGCACUUUUAUUUCACAUUAAUUCUCGCCUUUUUUUCAUCUGCCUGUUAACUGUACACAGAAAAG
rnacentral:lncRNA from 12 species